GAUGAACGCUGGCGGCGUGCCUAAUACAUGCAAGUCGAGCGAACAGACGAGGAGCUUGCUCCUCUGACGUUAGCGGCGGACGGGUGAGUAACACGUGGAUAACCUACCUAUAAGACUGGGAUAACUUCGGGAAACCGGAGCUAAUACCGGAUAAUAUAUUGAACCGCAUGGUUCAAUAGUGAAAGACGGUUUUGCUGUCACUUAUAGAUGGAUCCGCGCCGCAUUAGCUAGUUGGUAAGGUAACGGCUUACCAAGGCAACGAUGCGUAGCCGACCUGAGAGGGUGAUCGGCCACACUGGAACUGAGACACGGUCCAGACUCCUACGGGAGGCAGCAGAAGGGAAUCUUCCGCAAUGGGCGACAGCCUGACGGAGCAACGCCGCGUGAGUGAUGAAGGUCUUCGGAUCGUAAAACUCUGUUAUUAGGGAAGAACAAAUGUGUAAGUAACUAUGCACGUCUUGACGGUACCUAAUCAGAAAGCCACGGCUAACUACGUG
rnacentral:rRNA from 1 species